UGUAUGAGGGCCCCCAGCUUGCCCUGGUCUCUAGAGGAAGAAACGGGUUAGCCAGGUCACAGAUGCCUCGGGAGUGUUAAACGAGGACUCCUGUGGAAGAAGAGGCCCUCCUCCCCUCUCUCCUCCCUCCAUGUGAGCGGUGCCUGGAGCGAGCUCAUCACCUGGAACCCAUCAGAACGGCAGUUCACAAGCUUGGCAACGGGUGCAGAGGCGUUGGGAGUGGUGGAUGGCAGGGCUAAGAGGCAAUGAGACUCCAGUUAGCUCAACACCAGCUCCAGUGGGCACUUGGAGGUGCGCUCUGUGCCACCUCUUUCUAGAGGCCCUCUCUGAGACACCUGGGCAAUUGCUGUGGAGAGCACGCCAGAACAUCCUUCCGAAACUGCAUCAGACGAAGCCUGCAUUUUACAGAGUAAGGGACUACCAAAUCAGGUUAUAAACAUCCAGAUGUACAGAUGCAGGACCAUGGAUACAGAGGGCCAACUAUGGUACUUGAGCGUACAUGGAUUUUUGGUAUCUGAGGCAGGUCCUGGAACCACUCCCCAGUGGAUAUCAAGAUGAAGAGGUCUGAGACAGGAAGAGGAAGUACUACAGUGGGAGCUACACUGAAAGGCCUUCUCUGCCCACCUGGCCAUCUUAGUUUCAGGGGGAAGGAGGUA